AUAGGAAAUUCUAGUCUAAAAAAAAUUGUAUCAUUUUUGGUGCGGCAAGUUGCGGACAUGGGACCUCGAAAACAGCAGGAAAAAUGAGAUUCCUCCAUGGAUUCAGAAGAAGAUCUCGAAGCCUUGAAGAUUGAAGUUUCAGAGAUCAAGAAUUAUCUUCAUGAUUCAAUGAAAGAGAUGGCUCAACAACUUCAAGUACAGUUGCAUGAAUCAUUACAAGAAAUGAUGCAGCAACAAUUCAAGACUUUCUUGGAAGUUCAAGAAAAAUCAAGAACGGUCCAAGAAACUAAGGAAGGGGAAACUGGAGUUGACGAAACCAGGGAAAAUGAUGGAACCUAGGGGCAAACGACCUCAUCAGAGCCACAAACCAGCACCAACUUAUCGGAACCACGACGAAUGACCAAUGGAACACCUCCAAUGGCAGAUCUUAGAUUGAGUCAAGGUUCGGGCAGGGGCUAUGUUGAUAAAGACCGCUAGGAUGCUCGAUAAUGUCAUAAGAAUAGGCUAAAGAAAUUGAAGAUGCCCACUUUUGAUGGUGAUAAUCCAGAUGGGUGGAUAUUACAAGCAGAAUGAUUUUUCACUUGCAACGAGUAUGGGGAUGAUGAGAAGAUCGAGGCUACCUUCAUCUCUUUUUCUGGCGAUGCACUACUUUGGUACCAAUAUGAGAGUAACAAACGGGCCAUUCAUAGUUGGGAAGAGAUGAAACAAUUACUUCUCUGCCAUUUCCGAGAUACUCACGAAGGGUCCUUAUACGAUUAGUUCUUGACAGUUGAACGGGUGGGGACAGUGGUGGAAUACAAGAAACAAUUUAUCAGGUUGUUGACACCAUUAAAUACUAUGGAAACCGCUGUGCAACUUAGUACAUUCAUGAAUGGCCUAAUUCCUUCUUUAAGAGUUGAAUUGUGCAUCCUUCAACCUCAGAAUAUGGAUGAGGCUAUGGAAAUCGUGCAAGAUAUAGAGGACAAGAAUAGAGUUUUAAGACAGAGAUACUCCAAUUCGAACCGAACGAGUUUUCAAGACACUACAGCUAGGCCUGAGAGACCCUCAAGUAGUACUAAAUUUUCCCAAUCGACCACGGCGGUCCACAAACUCACUGAUUUAGAGAUCCAACUCAAAUGACAAAAGGGUUUGUGUUUUCACUACAAUGACAAAUGGUCCUCGGGCCACCGCUGUAAAAAAAAAAGGGAAUUACAAGGGGUCAUGGUACCUGAGGAGAUUAAUGAAAACAUUUUAGACCAAGAGUUCAUUGAUGACAGCAAGGAAACAAUGGAAUAAAAUUCCACCAAAGUGCAGAAAAAGGUAGUCGUAUCCUUCCAAUCUGUGGCUAGACUUUCCACAAACUCCACCAUGAAACUUAAGGAAGGGAAACCUCGAUUCCAAAGAAGUGGUAAUUCUCAUUGAUUCUGGGGCCACUCACAAUGUUAUUUCUAAGACUUUGGUCAGCAAGCUGCAGAUCCCCAUAGUUGAAACUAAAGCCUACGGGGUUACCUUUGGGAAUGGAGACUCAAUGAAAUGUGAGGGAAUUUGCAGAAAUCCGAAUAUUCAUUUCCAAGGCGUGGACGUUUGGGAUGAAUUUUUACCUCUGCCUUUGGGAAGUACCGACAUCAUUCUUGGAUUACAAUGGUUGACUACACUUGGCAUGACUAACAUAGAUUGGAAGCUACAAACUAUGGAGUUCCAACUUGGCAAAUGAAGGGUGUUAAUUAAAGGGGAUCCCUCACUUAAUCGAUCGUUGGUGUCACUAAAUACAAUGGAAAAGGCUCUUCAAGUAGAGAAACAAGGCAUCGUCCUAGAGUUCAACUAAUCCAGCCAUGACCCCAAUGAUUCAGAUCGACAGGUACCAGAAUUUUUUAUCCAAAUCCUUGCUGAUUAUACUGGUGUGUUUGAUAUGCCUGAAGGCCUUCCCCCAACCCGUUCCCAUGAACAUGCCAUUACCAAGCAACCUGGAACUGCCCAUAUCAUCGUUCGGCCUUACCGAUAUGCCUAUUCUCAAAAGGCUGAAAUUGAAAGGCUGAAAUUGAAAAGCUGAUUUCAGAAAUGCUUACUAUUGGAAUAAUUCAGCUAAGUAACAACCCAUUUUCAAGACCAGUUCUUCUUGUCAAAAAGAAAGAUGGCUUAUGGCAAUUUUUUGCUAACUACCGCGCUCUUAAUAGAGUGACCAUUCCAGUUAUCACCAAAUCCGAGUCUGCCAAGAAGAUGUGCAUAAAACGACGUUUAGAAUGCACGAUGGCCACUAUGAAUUCCUUGUCAUUCCCUUUGAAUUGACCAACGCACCCACCACCUUCCAGUCACUUAUGAAUGAUGUAUUCUGGCCUUACUUGCACCAUUUUGUGUUGGUAUUCUUCGAGGACACAUUGGUUUAUAGCAAGACAUGAGAACUCCACCAGCAACACUUAACACAAGUUUUCGAGCUCCUCUGCAAGCACCAGCUCUAUGCCAACCAGAAAAAGUGUGUCUUUGGGCAACUCCAAUUAGAGUAUCUCGGCCAUAUCAUCUCUCAACAAGGAGUAGAUGCUGACCCUCAAAAGAUUUCAGCAAUGCUUGAGUGGCCGAUUCCCAAAACCAUUAAGUUUCUUCGUGUCGUGUAUUAUAGAAAUUUUGAAGCCAACUAUGCCCGCAUAGCGCAAUCCCUUACUGACCAGCUGAAGAAGGAUCAAUUUCAAUGGGGUGGUGAAGCUGAACAAGCUUCUCGCAAGCUACAAGCAGCUAUGUCUACGGUGCCCAUAUUAGCUCUACCAGAUUUUUCUCAGCCAUUUGUUAUUGAAACAGAUGCAUUGGAGCAUGGAUUAGGAGCAGUGCUUCUACAAAAUCAGUACCCAAUUGCUUAUUUCAUCAGGUUUUGGGAGUUCAAGCAUGAAAAAAUCAAUCUAUGAGAAGGAGCAGAUAGCCAUUGUGUAUGCAGUAGCAAAAUGGCAUCCCUAUCUAUUGGGCCGUAAAUUUGUGGUAAGAAUUGACCAAAAAUGUCCGAGAUAUCUCAUGGGGCAGCCAGUGAUUGGAUCUGAAUAUCAAAAGUGGGUCUCUAAAUUAAUGGGAAUGGAUUUUGAGAUUGAAUAUAAGCCCGGAACCCUUAACAAGGUGGAUGAUGCUCUAUCUCAACAAGUGGAGACAGCUACCUUGGGCACCAUGGAAUGGCAACUGUGGCCCGAAUUGGUGCAAGAGAUAGCAGCUGACCCUGUGUUUCAACAAAUAUAUGAGGAUAUUAAAAGUGGCAGCAAGCUGCAUCAUGGUUUUCAGGUCCACAACAAUCUUCUUCAUUAUAAAAAUCAUUUAGUAAUCCCGAAGAAAUCCACCUUGAUUCAACGGAUAUUAGAGGAAUUUCACACUACUCCAUUUGGUGGUCAUUCCGAAGAGCUUAAGACAUACAAGCAGUUGGCUGCCAAGCUACUUUGGGAAGGGUUACGAGAAGAUGUGCACAAGUUUGUGCAACGCUAUUCUGUUUGUCAGCAGAAUAAACUCCUCACAACAUCACCAGCUAAUCUUCUACAACCCCUAUCCCUUCCAGCAUAAGUGUGGGACAAAGUGACUGUGGAUUUUAUAGAGGGCCUUCCUAAGUCGGAGGGGUGGGAUACCAUUUUGGUGGUAGUGGAUCACCUUUCCAAAUACGCCCAUUUAAUCAAGCUGAAGCAUCCUUUUACCGCUCCCACAAUGGCUGAAGUUUUCAUGAGAGAGGUGAUUAGACUACAUGGAGUUCCCCAAUCCAUUGUCUCCAAUAGGGAUCAGAUAUUCCUUAGCCUAUUUUGUAGUCAUCUUUUUAAAGCUACAAGGAACUACCCUAAAGAAAAGUACUGCCUACCAUCCACAAACUGAUGGACAAUCGGAGGUCUUAAAUCGCUGCCUUGAAACAUACUUGCGAUGUUUUUCUUACCAGCAGCCGAAACACUAGUCUAAAUGGCUUGCUUAGGUCGAGUAUUCCUACAACACCUCCUACCAUUUUCAUUGAAGAGUACCCCAUUCAUAGCCCUUUAUGGGAGAGACCCACCGCCACUCAUACCUUAUCGGAAAGGGACUGCCAUAGUAUCAUUAGUUGAUGAGUUACUCGAAUCUCGUGAUGCCAUUUUGGAUAACCUUCGAAUGCAUCUCCUCUGCGCUCAACAUCGCAUGAAAUUGCAAGCUGGUUUGAAGAGAUGACCAAAUGAGUUUGCCAUUGGGGAACAAGUCUAUCUCAAAAUAAGACCCUACCGCCAAAAGUCACUUGCCAAAUGCUCCAAUGACAAGCUGAUAGCGAGGUACUAUGGGCCUUUUCCCAUCAUCCAAUGAGUUGGUUCAGUUGCCUACAAGCUUCAACUGCUGAACCAUGCUCACAUUCAUCCCGUGUUCCACAUCUCCCAACUCCGUCGAACCAUUGGGUCUUCACCAACCAUGCCCACUAUCCCACUUCAGUUGACUCCUGAGCUAGAACUCUCUAAGUGGAACCCGAGGCUAUAUUGGACCUUUGCUUCCCUACUGUUGCUGUCACUCUUCCUUCCGAAGUCCUCACUAAAUGGAAGACCCUGCUAGAUUUUGAAGCUACAUGGGAACCUUUUCCCACCAUCCAAGACCAAUUUCCCCUAUUUCACCUUGAGGACAAGGUGAAGGUUUUUUUUGGGGGGUAUUCAUAAGCCUCUGAUUAAGUUUUUCUAUAUUAGGAGGUCACAAAACAACUAAGGGCAGGGUUGUUUUCUUUGUUCAUUCUUUUAUCUAGCUGACAUUUAGUUUUAGGGGGGCUAAGUUGUAUUAAUUCUUUAGGAUCCUAACAUCAUGUUGUGUUGUCCAAUACAUAUAAUUAGAUAGGGGGAUUCAUUUGGGGGUACAGCUGGAAAAAUAGAAGAGUAUUACUCUGUGGAGAGAGCAGCCCUCUCGGAAGAUUGUAAAUUGGAGAGACUAGUCUCUCGAAAGCUAGGUGUGUUCUUUGUCAAUUUCAUCAAUAAAGGAAUUCUUUGAGGGAAAUUCUAUU